GAACGCUGGCGGCGUGCUUAACACAUGCAAGUCGAACGAUGAAGCCUUUCGGGGUGGAUUAGUGGCGAACGGGUGAGUAACACGUGGGCAAUCUGCCCUUCACUCUGGGACAAGCCCUGGAAACGGGGUCUAAUACCGGAUAACACUCUGUCCCGCAUGGGACGGGGUUAAAAGCUCCGGCGGUGAAGGAUGAGCCCGCGGCCUAUCAGCUUGUUGGUGGGGUAAUGGCCUACCAAGGCGACGACGGGUAGCCGGCCUGAGAGGGCGACCGGCCACACUGGGACUGAGACACGGCCCAGACUCCUACGGGAGGCAGCAGUGGGGAAUAUUGCACAAUGGGCGAAAGCCUGAUGCAGCGACGCCGCGUGAGGGAUGACGGCCUUCGGGUUGUAAACCUCUUUCAGCAGGGAAGAAGCGAGAGUGACGGUACCUGCAGAAGAAGCGCCGGCUAACUACGUGCCAGCAGCCGCGGUAAUACGUAGGGCGCAAGAAUUAUUGGGCGUAAAGAGCUCGUAGGCGGCUUGUCACGUCGGAUGUGAAAGCCCGGGGCUUAACCCCGGGUCUGCAUUCGAUACGGGCUAGCUAGAGUGUGGUAGGGGAGAUCGGAAUUCCUGGUGUAGCGGUGAAAUGCGCAGAUAUCAGGAGGAACACCGGUGGCGAAGGCGGAUCUCUGGGCCAUUACUGACGCUGAGGAGCGAAAGCGUGGGGAGCGAACAGGAUUAGAUACCCUGGUAGUCCACGCCGUAAACGUUGGGAACUAGGUGUUGGCGACAUUCCACGUCGUCGGUGCCGCAGCUAACGCAUUAAGUUCCCCGCCUGGGGAGUACGGCCGCAAGGCUAAAACUCAAAGGAAUUAAGACGGGGGCCCGCACAAGCAGCGGAGCAUGUGGCUUAAUUCGACGCAACGCGAAGAACCUUACCAAGGCUUGACAUAUACCGGAAAGCAUCAGAGAUGGUGCCCCCCUUGUGGUCGGUAUACAGGUGGUGCAUGGCUGUCGUCAGCUCGUGUCGUGAGGUCCCGCAACGAGCGCAACCCUUGUUCUGUGUUGCCAGCAUGCCCUUCGGGGUCUCACAGGAGACUGCCGGGGUCAACUCGGAGGAAGGUGGGGACGACGUCAAGUCAUCAUGCCCCUUAUGUCUUGGGCUGCACACGUGCUACAAUGGCCGGUACAAUGAGCUGCGAUGCCGCGAGGCGGAGGGUCUCAGUUCGGAUUGGGGUCUGCAACGAAGUCGGAGUUGCUAGUAAUCGCAGAUCAGCAUUGCUGCGGUGAAUACGUUCCCCACACCGCCCGUCACGUCACGAAAGUCGGUAACACCCGUUGUGGGAGGGAGCUGUCGAAGGUGGGACUGGCGAUUGGGACGAAGAAGGUAGCCG
rnacentral:rRNA from 1 species